rnacentral:tRNA from 1 species
GUGGGGGUGCUAGAGUGGUCAAAUAGGCUAGCCUCAAGAGCUAGUGGCUUAGUGCCUACGCAGGUUCGAACCCUGCUCCCCACA